AGGGUUUGAUUAUGGCUCAGAACGAACGCUGGCGGCAGGCNUAACACAUGCAAGUCGAGCGAGAAACCACCUUCGGGUGGUGGGCAGCGGCGGACGGGUGAGUAACAUGUGGGAAUCUGCCUUUUGGUUUGGAAUAACACGGGGAAACUUGUGCUAAUACCGAAUAAGCCCUUACGGGGAAAGUUUUAACGCCGAAAGAUGAGCCCGCACUUGAUUAGCUAGUUGGUAAGGUAAAAGCUUACCAAGGCAAUGAUCAAUAGCUGUUCUUAGAGGAAGACCAGCCACAUUGGGACUGAGACACGGCCCAGACUCCUACGGGAGGCAGCAGUGGGGAAUCUUGCACAAUGGGGGAAACCCUGAUGCAGCGAUGCCGCGUGAGUGAAGAAGGCCUUUGGGUUGUAAAACUCUUUCGUCGGGGAAGAAAAUGACUGUACCCGAAUAAGAAGGUCCGGCUAACUUCGUGCCAGCAGCCGCGGUAAUAC
rnacentral:rRNA from 1 species